rnacentral:rRNA from 1 species
UACAGGGGGUGCAAACGUUGCUCGGAAUUAUUGGGCGUAAAGCGCGCGUAGGCGGCCACCUAAGUCGGAUGUGAAAGCCCCUGGCUUAACCGGGGAAGUGCACCCGAAACUGGGUAGCUAGAGUGCAAAAGAGGGUCGCGGAAUUCCCAGUGUAGAGGUGAAAUUCGUAGAUAUUGGGAGGAACACCGGUGGCGAAGGCGGUUCUCUGGGCAUUACCUGACGCUGAGGAGCGAAAGUGUGGGGAGCGAACAGG